rnacentral:rRNA from 1 species
CCUACGGGUGGCAGCAGUGAGGAAUAUUGGUCAAUGGGCGCGAGCCUGAACCAGCCAAGCCGCGUGAAGGAUGACUGCCCUACGGGUUGUAAACUUCUUUUAUAAAGGAAUAAAGUGAGGCACGUGUGCCUUUUUGUAUGUACUUUAUGAAUAAGGAUCGGCUAACUCCGUGCCAGCAGCCGCGGUAAUACGGAGGAUCCGAGCGUUAUCCGGAUUUAUUGGGUUUAAAGGGAGCGUAGAUGGGUUGUUAAGUCAGUUGGAAAAGUUUGCGGCUCAACCGUGGAAUUGCAAUUGAUACUGGUAGUCUUGAGUGCAGUUGAGGUAGGCGGAAUUCGUGGUGUAGCGGUGAAAUGCUUAGAUAUCACGAAGAACUCCGAUUGCGAAGGCAGCUUACUAACCUGCCACUGACGUUGAUGCACGAAAGUGUGGGUAGCAAACAGGAUUAGAUACCCCGGUAGUC